rnacentral:rRNA from 1 species
CAGUAGCCGCGGUAAUACGUAGGUCCCGAGCGUUGUCCGGAUUUAUUGGGCGUAAAGCGAGCGCAGGCGGUUAGAUAAGUCUGAAGUUAAAGGCUGUGGCUUAACCAUAGUACGCUUUAGAAACUGUUCAACUUGAGUGCAAGAGGGGAGAGUGGAAUUCCAUGUGUAGCGGUGAAAUGCGUAGAUAUAUGGAGGAACACCGGUGGCGAAAGCGGCUCUCUGGCUGUAACUGACGCUGAGGCUCGAAAGCGUGGGGAGCAAACAGGAUUAGAUACCCGCGUAGUCCCUGUCUCUUAUACAC